UUUUGCCAUCAGACCUAUGUAUUCGUUCAAAAGUCCAUAUUUUUUUAAGCAGUUUUAACCAAAUAGCCGGGUGGGCUCGUUAAAGGCGCGUGUUAGUCAUAGACAUUUUAUAUUUACUGUUUAUUUGUGUUUGGCACAUUGGCUUGUGUUGUUUGUCUGGAAACAAAUAGCACGCAAGGCUAUUUCUAUUAACCAACCGACGAUACCACCCCCAUUUCCUUUGAGGGUUUCGAGUCACUCGUUCUUUGGACAACACCCCCGCAUUCCUCUUUGAAAGAUACUUUUUUUUUCUCGAAUUUUAAUGGCGUGUCAGAAUUUAUUGGCCACGUUUAGUCGGCCGUUUGAGACACACGCCCAUCGCUAAUUAUCCGGCAGCGGGAGAUGCAACCACAGGAAGUCGUCCAAGUGGCCACAGGCAUUCGGCAAUAUACAAAUUUUGAACAAUAAACAGAAAAUUUGUUUUUCCCGCGAGUCGGAAACGUUUAUGAUUCGAGCAACUAGAAGGAAAUGUCAUAAUUGGUUCGACUAUAGGAUACCACGUGUGCUCAAAAACAAUUAUUUGGAAAAAUGAUUUACAUAUGUAUGUUUGCCAUUCUGUCAUUUAUUUAUAAUGAUUAAUAUACCCAACAUACCCCGCAAAGCAGAGAACACUAUCAACCAAGGGGCGAGUCUAGUAAAAGAAUUUCGUAAUCGAGAUCCCGCAUCGAGCCAAUCAAGCUAAAAAUUCUGAACCCAUAGCCAUGCGGGUGCAGAACGCUUAUCAGCCGGAAUAAUAAUAGCUUGGACAACUACAACAAGGGAAUGAAAUAAAUUUAAUAAACAUUUUUAUGACUGUU